UGACAAGAAACCCAGCUGCCUCGGAGA
rnacentral:piRNA from 1 species